CCCCUAGAUGUUCUGGGCCGCACGCGCGCUACACUGAACAGUUCAACAAGUCUUAACCUUGGCCGAUAGGUCUGGGUAAUCUUUGAACGCUGUUCGUGAUUGGGAUAGACCUUUGCAAUUAUGGGUCUUCAACGAGGAAUUCCUAGUAAACGAAAGUCAUCAGCUUGCAUUGAUUACGUCCCUGCCCUUUGUACACACCGCCCGUCGCACCUACCGAUUGAAUGGUCCGGUGAAAUCUCGGGACGGCGGCUUGGUCGCUUGCGUCCGACUGCUGAAACUUGAUUAAACCAUAUCAUUUAGAGGAAGGUGAAGUCGUANCA
rnacentral:rRNA from 1 species